rnacentral:SRP_RNA from 2 species
GCUGGGUGUGGUGGCGCACGCCUGUAGUCCCAGCUACUUGGGAGGCUGAGGCAGGAGAAUUGCUUGAACCCGGGAGGUGGAGGUUGCAGUGAGCCAAGAUUGCGUAAUUGCACUCCAGCCUGGGUGACAGAGUGAGACUCAGUCUCAA